UACAGAGGUCUCAAGCGCUGUUCGGAUUCAUUGGGCGUAAAGGGUGCGUAGGUGGCGCUGUAAGUCGGGUGUGAAAUUUCGGAGCUUAACUCCGAAACUGCAUUCGAUACUGCGGUGCUUGAGGACUGGAGAGGAGACUGGAAUUCAUGGUGUAGCAGUGAAAUGCGUAGAUAUCAGGAGGAAUACCGAUGGCGAAGGCAGGUCUCUGGGCUAUAACUGACGCUCAUGCACGAAAGCGUGGGGAGCAAACAGG
rnacentral:rRNA from 1 species